rnacentral:rRNA from 1 species
UACGUAGGGCGCAAGCGUUAUCCGGAAUUACUGGGCGUAAAGCGCACGUAGGUGGUUUUAUAAGUCGGAUGUGAAAGCCCCGGGCUUAACCUGGGAACUGCAUUUGUGACUGCAUGGCUGGAGUGCGGCAGAGGGGGAUGGAAUUCCGCGUGUAGCAGUGAAAUGCGUAGAUAUGCGGAGGAACACCGAUGGCGAAGGCAAUCCCCUGGGCCUGCACUGACGCUCAUGCACGAAAGCGUGGGAGCAAACAGG